GAUGAACGCUGGCGGCGUGCUUAACACAUGCAAGUCGAACGAAGCACUUUAUUUGAUUUCCUUCGGGACUGAUUAUUUUGUGACUGAGUGGCGGACGGGUGAGUAACGCGUGGGUAACCUGCCUUGUACAGGGGGAUAACAGUUGGAAACGGCUGCUAAUACCGCAUAAGCGCACAGCAUCGCAUGAUGCAGUGUGAAAAACUCCGGUGGUAUAAGAUGGACCCGCGUUGGAUUAGCUAGUUGGUGAGGUAACGGCCCACCAAGGCGACGAUCCAUAGCCGAGCUGAGAGGGUGACCGGACACAUUGGGACUGAGCCACGGCCCAAACUCCUACGGGAGGCAGCAGUGGGGAAUAUUGCACAAUGGGCGAAAGCCUGAUGCAGCGACGCCGCGUGAACGAAGAAGUAUUUCGGUAUGUAAAGCUCUAUCAGCAGGGAAGAUAAUGACGGUACCUGACUAAGAAGCACCGGCUAAAUACGUG
rnacentral:rRNA from 1 species